rnacentral:rRNA from 1 species
GAUGAACGCUGGCGGCGUGCCUAAUACAUGCAAGUCGAACGAAACUUCUUUAUCACCGAGUGCUUGCACUCACCGAUAAAGAGUUGAGUGGCGAACGGGUGAGUAACACGUGGGCAACCUGCCCAAAAGAGGGGGAUAACACUUGGAAACAGGUGCUAAUACCGCAUAACCAUAGUUACCGCAUGGUAACUAUGUAAAAGGUGGCUAUACUACCGCUUUUGGAUGGGCCCGCGGCGCAUUAGCUAGUUGGUAGGGUAAAGGCUUACCAAGGCAAGGAUGCGUAGCCGAAUUGAGAGGUUGGUCGGCCACAUUGGGACUGAGACACGGCCCAAACUCCUACGGGAGGCAGCAGUAGGGAAUCUUCCACAAUGGGCGAAAGGCUGAUGGAGCAACGCCGCGUGGGUGAAGAAGGUCUUCGGAUCGUAAAACCCUGUUGUUAGAGAAGAAAGUGCGUGAGAGUAACUGUUCACGUUUCGACGGUAUCUAGCCGGAAAGCCACGGCUAACUACGUG